GAUGAACGCUGGCGGCGUGCCUAAUACAUGCAAGUCGAGCGAACAGAUGAGGAGCUUGCUCCUCUGACGUUAGCGGCGGACGGGAGAGUCACACGUGGUUAACCUACCUCUACGAAUGGGAUAACAUCGGGAAACCGUAGCUAAUACCGGAUAAUAUAUUGAACCUCAUGGUGCCAUAGUUAAAGACGGUUUUUCUGUCACUUAUAGCUGAAUACGCCCCGCAUUCGCUAGUUGGUAAGGUAACGGCUUACCCAGGCUACGACUCUUAGCCGACCUGAGAGGGAGGACGGCCAGACGGGAAGUGAGAAACAGUACAGACUCCUACGGGAAGCAGCGAUAGAGAAUCUUACGGGAGGGGCGAAAGCCGGAUGGUGCAACGCCGCGUGAGUGAUGAAGGACUUCGGAUCGUAGAGCUCUGUUAUUAGGAAAGAACAAAUGUGUAAGUAACUGGGCUCAUCUUGACGGUACCGAGUCAGAAAGCCACGGCUAACUACGUG
rnacentral:rRNA from 1 species